CCUACGGGAGGCAGCAGUAGGGAAUCUUCCACAAUGGGCGAAAGCCUGAUGGAGCAACGCCGCGUGGGUGAAGAAGGUCUUCGGAUCGUAAAACCCUGUUGUUAGAGAAGAAAGUGCGUGAGAGUAACUGUUCACGUUUCGACGGUAUCUAACCAGAAAGCCACGGCUAACUACGUGCCAGCAGCCGCGGUAAUACGUAGGUGGCAAGCGUUAUCCGGAUUUAUUGGGCGUAAAGGGAACGCAGGCGGUCUUUUAAGUCUGAUGUGAAAGCCUUCGGCUUAACCGGAGUAGUGCAUUGGAUACUGGGAGACGUGAGUGCAGAAGAGGAGAGUGGAACUCGAGGUGUAGCGGUGAAAUGCGUAGAUAUAUGGAAGAACACCAGUGGCGAAGGCGGCUCUCUGGUCUGUAACUGACGCUGAGGUUCGAAAGCGUGGGUAGCAAACAGGAUUAGAUACCCUUGUAGUC
rnacentral:rRNA from 1 species